rnacentral:misc_RNA from 1 species
GAUGAAGAACGCAGCGAAAUGCGAUAAGUAAUGUGAAUUGCAGAAUUCAGUGAAUCAUCGAAUCUUUGAACGCACCUUGCGCCCUUUGGCCAUUCCGAAGGGCAUGCCUGUUUGAGUAUCAUGAACACCUCAACUCUUUAUGGUUUUCCAUGAUGAGCUUGGACUCUGGGGGUUUUGCUGGCUCACAGUCGGCUCCUCUAAAAUGAAUCAGCUUACCAGUGUUUGGUGGGUAUCAUGGGGGUGAUAACUAUCUACGCUUGUGGUUUUUCCACCAGGUAACCUUCAGCAGUGGAGGUUCGCUGGAGCUCAUAGAUGUCUCUCCUCAGUGAGGACAGCCCUUUGAAUGUUUGAUCUCAAAUCAGGUAGGACUACCCGCUGAACUUAAGCAUAUCAAUAAGCGGAGGA